GUAGACGAUGAAAUAUGCACUGGGCUCUGAUCAGUUUCUUAUAUGAACUGCUUUCUUGAUGGAAAUUGCAGCCUAGAAAGCUUGUCUGAUAC